GAACGGGACGGGAAGGAAGGGAGGGUUCCUAACCUUCCCGACUCUUUUCACAUCAUCUUUCUCAUCCCACAUCUUUGCGCCUCUCCUGACCUCUUUUUCCUAACAUUAAGGAAAGAGGGUGUCAGAAAGAGAUGUAGAAAGGUGGGGAAGAAUAGAGCCCAGAUGGGAGGGGGAAGGGGUGGAGGGGUUGAGAUGGGAAGGGACCCACUCUCCUUUCCCAUUCUAACCCUCUCCGCCUCUUUCACCCCUUCCGUCUCUUUUCAUCCUUUUCUUCACAUACCUUCUCUACGUCCUCCUUUCCUUUCAUUUCUUCUCUUUCCUCCCUUUUUUCUCCUUUCCACCUCUUCUCUCUCCACCCUUCUUCUUCUUUUCCUACUUCUUUGCUUUCUAUCCCCAUACUCCCACCACUCCUUCUUUCUCUCCUCCACCAUUUCUUCGUUCCCACCCUUCCGGUUUGGUCCAGCUUCCGUCUCUUCCUUUGACCCUUCCUGCCAUCCUCGUCUUACUCUUUCUCUUCCAAAUGUCAUACGAUAACUAGGAAUAAGGCUUUAGUGUUGGUGCCGCACUUCUUCUCCCUGCACGAGUCGAGCUGAUUGAUGUAAAGAGACUGUCAGAAGGUGGAAUGGGUAACAGUGGGGAUGAGUUAGCGGUUGCGGCGGCGACACAGUAGUCAGCCUCUGGCGGUACUGGACUGUCGGAUGGACAAAAGGCCAAGAAGCCCCACCACCGUUUAUCUCUCCUGGAAUCAGUAGGCCUGUGAACCUCGGACCGCUUACGUCACGACAGACAUAACGCAGGGUCAGGUGGGACUGCGGGACUAUCACAGAGUGCACAACGCUUCAUCAUCAGCAGCUGUCUGGUCGCAGACAGCAGAGCUCGAGGCUGGUAGAUAAGCGUUGGUCCUCGUUAGGCGUGGUCAAGCUCUGACCGCUGUCACGGCCUAAGAGGUGAGGACGAGACACGUGGUGGCACACGGCAGUGCCAGAGUCUCUGCGCUCGUGACGGAGGCCGCUACGAUCGACGGGGUGACAUCAAAGGACAGAGGCUGGAAGAUAAGUGUUGGUCCUUGUUAGGCGCUGUUAAGCUUGAGACAGCAGUCCGGCCUAAAGGACGAGACAGACACAUGGUGGCACACGGCAGUGCCAGAGUCUCUGCGCUCGUGACGGAGGCCGCUACGAUCGACGGAGGACACGACAACAUGACAAGAGACUUGUGUGAAGAUAUAAGUGGCGAGUGUGUGUUACACGAGUGUUGUGUGCUAUGUGUAAAGGUAAUUAUAGUGGCUCAUGAUGCCUGGACUAGGCAUAGGGAAGUAACGGGACACCUAGAGAGCGGCCAAAUUUGAAAUUGUAUAAUCUUGUAAAUUGAGUUUUCAGCCUCUCGAUCAUUAAUAACCUUCUUUAUUACACUAAAUUGCCUUGUGUUGGUUGUUGGGUAUGCGCGCUGGGGGCUCAAGAGUCAAGUGUAAUUAGCAAUCUUGUGUAAGUGUGCGUGUACGGUGAAAUGUCGGAGUGAGUUGGUAGAGGUGUCGAGAGUGUGAUCAGCCCGAAGCAACGGCAAUCGCAACCUCUGACCAUCUUCACGUGCUCAUUCCUCGAAGUUCACGACAACUGCGAUCAGCAAAGAAUCGUUGUCUACACACUGGGUUCUCGAGGAAUAAAAUUGUAAUAGAGAUCUGUUCAAGGCUGUUCAUAUUCUCCGUUGUGAGUUGUCUUGGAAUCGGGACUGCUCCAGCACAACUGACUCAAAAGGUGCGUAAGACCCGCUCAGUCACAGAGUGCACAACGCUUCAUCACCAGAGUAACUGUUUGGUCGCAAACAGUAGAGGCUGAGGCUGGAAGAUAAGUGUUGGUCCUUGUUAGGCGCUGUUAAGCUUGAGACAGCAGUCCGGCCUAAAGGACGAGACAGACACAUGGUGGCACACAGCAGUGCCAGUGCUCAUCGCUUCAUCAUCAGCAGCUGUCUGGUCGCAGACAGUAGAGCUCGAGGCUGGUAGGUAAGCGUUGGUCCUCGUUAGGCGUGGUCAAGCUCUGACCGCUGUGACGGCCUAAGAGGUGAGGAUGAGACACGUGGUGACACACGGCAGUGCCAGAGUCUCUGCGCUCGUGACUGAGGCGGCUACGAUCGACGGAGGAUACGACAACUGACAAGAGACUUGUGGGAAGAGACAAGUGGCGAGUGUGUGUUAGACAAGCUUAUUGUGCUGUGUGUAGUAGUAAAAGUAAUGAUACCUGGACUAGGCAUAGGGAAGUAACGGGACACCUAGAGAGCGGCCAUAUUUGAAAUUGUAUAAUCUUGUAAAUUGAUUUGUAAAUUUCUCGAUCAUUAAUAGCCUUCUUUAUUACAAUAAAUUGCCUUCUGUUGGUUAUUGUAGAUGCGCGCUGGGGGCUCAAGAGUCAAGUAAAGUAUAAUUAGCUAUUUAGUUUAAGUGUACACGUACGGUAAAUGUCGGAGUGAGUUGGUAGAGAUGUCGAGAGUGUGAUCAGCCCGAGACAACGGCAAUCGCAACCUCUGACCGUCUUCGCGUGUUCAUUCUCCUGAGUUCACGACACCAGGUUCCAUUACUUUCUGCCGGUUCCAAUCGCUAUCUUCCUUUCCAGUCCUUUUCCCUCCCGCCCGUUUCUUCCUACCUUUCUUUUCUACUCACUACUUUCUCACCCCUUUCUCCUCUCUUUCCAACCUCUUUCCUGCACUUCACGUCUAUCUCCCCUUAUCUUUUGUCUCCUCCUUUUCACCUUCUUUCUAUAUCCCUUCUCUUCCCUCUCACUCUUUCCUUCUCAAUUUGCUUCCCUUUGGUCCAGCUCUUUUCUGGACUCUCCUUUCCUGUCCUCCCACCCUUAGCAACACGUUCAUCUCUUUUUUUCUGUUCUCUUCUAACACUUUCAUCCACUUUCCUAACCACUUCUUCCUUUCCCUUAUUUUCAUGUCCCUCCUCUUCCCUCAAACACGUUAGUCUCUUUCCUCCCUUCCUACCCUUUCUACUUUCCCUGUUCUUUCUUAACCUUUAUCUCUCAGUUUCCCCUUCACCUCUCAAGAGUGUGGGGCUCUCUACUGCUGGGGGAAGCAGCCACCAACGUCGCCACCUAAUGUUGCACGUGACUGCGACUAUCAACUGACCCCAACAACAGGUGGGUAGGAGAGGACAGUGACUUUGACCACCAAGACAUCAACGAUCACCUGACACUGAAUAUGGCGGUCAGUGACCACGCCGAGUAAAGCAGCAGCGGCUACCAGGAUAUACUUACAGGUUUCUCGCUACUCCACCAACUCUUUCUCGACUAAUGAGACUGGAUUAAAAGACUGGCGUGACCACCACUGCCAUCAACGUGGCCAGCUCAUGUUGCUCGGUGAUUACGACUAUCACACCAUCGACCUCAACAACAGCUGGCUAGGAAAGGACGACGACUGCGCCGAACAAAGCAACGGCGGCUACCCAAGGGAUGUAUUCCUUUCCUAUUCCUUGCACUGUUUUCCUUCCUCUCUCUCCUUCCUAUCCUUUGGUACAUCGCAAACAAUCUUUUCGAAACAAUUUGUAUUUCGUUCCCCUAAGUGGCACCCACGUGGCAUCUUACAUCUUAACCAAUAACAAAAACUAAGAGGGCUUAAAAAAAUCUCAAAAACCAAUAAAAUGUCAAAAUUAGAUAUAUAAACUUUAUUUUUUUGUUAAUUUAUGAAACAGAAAUGAAUUAGAUGCAAAAAUGCAAACGUUAAGGGCCUAAAAAAUCUUUCCGUUUUGUGGUUGAUAAAAAUAUAUUAAAACCUUUGAAAUUAACACAAAUCUGAACGAAAAUAUGAGUAAACACGAUGCCGCUAUUUCGCCUUGCUAGUAGGUCUGGGUCCACCGCUUUCCGCACCAAGUGGUGUAAAAUGGCGGGAGCCGCAGCCAUAUGGCAUCUGGAACUAUAUAUAUAUAUAAAACCAAUAAGAGUUAUAAACAUAAGGGUAACAAAAUGCUUAUGUAUAUAUGUGGUUGCAAAGAAAUUCAUAAAACCUUUGAGGGGAAAAUGUGAAUAAUGGCGAGAGUGGCAGCCACAUGGCAUCUCCAUGAAAAGUUGAAAACUUACAUGGCUUACAAAAGGCUUGUCCAUUUAUGUGGUUAAAAAAUCAGAGCAUCUCACACAACCAAUACAAGCUUGAAGCUGUGAGAGCGCUUGCAAAAACUUGGCGAUUUAUGUGUCGAUAAAGCAAAUCGUUAAAUACUUGCAAAAACAAAACGAUGUGAAAUAGAAAUGAGAAGAUGCCUCUACUUCGCCAUUAAGUCUAUGUCAACAACUGCCCACACAAAGCGAUACAAAAAUGGCGGGAGUGGCAGCAAACUGGCAUCUCAAGGUUUUAAUCAUUGAUUGGUUUUAAGAGGCAACAAAAUUAAGUGCUUAUCCUUUAUGUGGUUAAUAUAAAAUCAUUUAAAAAAAACUUACAAAAUGAUCUCUAAAACGGAGAUGAAUAAGAUGCUUGCACUUUGCCAUGCUGCACUAAUGGCGGAAGCGACGGCCACAUGGCAUCUGGAACUAUCCAAUACGAGUUAUAAACAUAAGGAGCAACAAAAUACCUAUGCGUAUGUGUGGUUGCAAAAAAGAAAAUCACAAAACCUUUGACGGAAAAGUCUAUAAAAAGGAAUGAUACGAUGCCUACACCUUGUCAUGCUAAGUCUGUGUCGACUGUUUCCCACACCAUGCAAUGCAAUAGGGCGCCAUUUUGCAUUGCUUGGUGUGGGAAGCUGCAGCCAACUGGUAUCUUCUUGUAGGAUAACGGAUGUACGUCACAGGUCUCUGGAUGCUAUUUGAACAGAGGCGAGCGAAGGUCACAUCGAAUACGAGUGAUUGUUCAGAGGGGAGUACAGGGUGGGGCGUGAAGCUGUGUGCGUUAAAGGGAUAUUAUACAUGUAGUUUGCUGUUGUGGUUUUUUUUUUUUGGUUUGUUUUUUGUUGUUGUUUUUGUUUGUUUGUUGUUGUUUUUUGUUUUUUUUUUUUUUUUGCUUCUUUUGUUGUUGUUUUUGGAUUGUUUUAUAUAAGUGUCGGGUAUGGAGCAGCGAGCAGAUGGAGGGCGAGUGACGUUACCGUUUAUGUGUAGCUCCGCCUACAGGUCCGCCAUUUUGUUAUGGUCGUCAAGAGUUACGCGAUAAGAAAUAUAUUAUGUACUCAAACCAAUAAAGAGUUAAAAACAUAAGGGGAAACAAAAUAUUUGAAUUAGAAGCAAAAAUGCAAACAGAAGGAGACACAAAAUCCUUCCGUUUUGUGGUUCAAGGUUGAUAAAAAAAAAAAUCCAUUAAAAUCUGUAAAGACCGCUUCCCCCACCAAGCAAUUCAAAAUGGUGGAAGCGGCUGCCAACUGCAUCUCAAACUAAACAAUAAAGAGUUAUAAACAUGUGGUUGCAAAAAAACUCAUAAAACCUUUGACAGAGAGUUUUGCUAAAUAUGAAUGAAUACGAUGCCUACACUUCGCCAUGCUAGUAGGUCUGGAUCGACCGCUUCCCGCACCAUGUGAUGAAUAAUGGCGGGAGCGGCAGACACAUGGCAUCUGGUACUAACCAAUGAAAAGUUAAAAACGUAUUUUUUAUGGUUAUUUUUAAGGUCUUAAUAAAAUUACUUAUCGCAUUAAUGGAGAAGCCUACUGCGCUGUGCAAGGUCCGUGUCCAUCUCUUUCCUCCCAAGACGAUACCAAAUGGCGGAAGCAUGUCCAGCUAUCCACUCAAAUGUUAACUUACAAGGCUCGGUUCUAUAUUCAUAAAAAAAAAUUUGAAAUAGCAAUAGAUUAUAUGAAAAAUUGCAAACGUAAGAGGCUUAGAAUGGUACAUAUUUACGUGGAUGACAAAAUAAAUCCCUUAGAAAAAUAUGAACAAGAAAUGAAGAAGAUGCCUCCACCUUGCCAUCCUAGUAAGUCUGUCGAUCGCUUUUCGCUCACCAAAGGAUGCGAAAUUAAGCGGAGGCGGCAACCACAUGGCACUUCAAGGUAACCCAUGCAAAGUUAAAAACUUAAUAGUCUUUCAAAACGCUUAUCAAUUUAUGUGGUUAUAAAACCUUACCAAUAUUUAAACAUAUAUAAAAAUUACAAAUGAAUGAGGUGAUGAUCCAUUGUAGAAGGUGUCAUCAAAAAUGGUGCAACAAUGUCGGGAGCGGCAAUCACAGGGUAUCUUGAACUGACCAAUUAAAAAUUAAAUGUUGGGGAAAUCGUCUAGAGAUGCUAGGCAGAGCACAUUAACCAGAGGAACGAAAAGUACUAGCAGUGGGUCACGUGGCACCCUGACCAUGCCUACUAUGCCACAAUGUCCGUCUGGUUAAUAGACGAUUGCUCGGCUUUGUUGCCAACACCUGUACUGUGCACCUGUACUGUACUUUUAUCAUGGAAAGCAUUCGCCCUGUUUUGUCGUGUUCAUCUCAUGCUAGUUUUCAUGUCAGGAAUGGGGAUUUGCAGUCUAUUAACUAGUGGCUACUCGUGUCAAAUGUACCGACAACGAUCGCCAUUGUCUCCAGCAGGUCAAUCACCGUCGUUAUCCGUUCAGUCUUUUUCGUUGUGUCCUUCAUCGCAGCUAAUGAAAUCCAGAUGACUGUGGAUUACCUCGGAUAAAUGGUCGUUCCAUAUACGCCUUUACAUCUUGCACUAUGAUUUCUGUUCUUGUGAGUUUCCGUGUUACAUUGUUUGUUUGUACAGUUACCAAGUCAAACCCUAAGUUUGGUGCAAUGUAUGUGAGUAACUUUGGACACUUGGUACCUCUUGCGCGUGAUAAAGCACGAUAACCAUCGAUUCUGUCAAGUGGCCCAGUUUUUAUGUAAAUUUUUAUGUAAAUGUUAACAGACUGUUCUUUUGUGAAGUUAGUACCGCGGACGUUUUCUUUGGUUGUUCUGUGCAAUCUUGCUACACAAAGAUUUGUGCGCUUCAGCUGUCCACGUCUAGCGACCUCAAUUAAUACACGUGGACUCGGACCGAUAAUCAGUGGAAAAUGUCAACCAUCUUUGCAGUGUCAUAGAUAGUUGUUAUAGUUUCAAGAUUAGUUGCUUGGUGCCUUUGGGGUAACCCUUCUAAUUUUUUUUUUCUGUUUCACCCCGAGACAUCUAUUCAACAACACUGCGGCCAAGAAAGUGGAUUCACGUGGACGGCUGAGGAAACAUAAGAUGAAAAUUGCAAUACAUCGGUGGUUUGGAGAUCAUUCGGGGACAAACUCUGCCGACAAGAGGAAUAAAGAAACUGCAAUGGAAGGAAUGGAAAACCAGUCCAGUCAAUUCUACAAGGAACAAAAGGAGGACAGCGUGUAUCUUCUGAGGGGAAACCUAUCAUCAACUACAGAUAUAGCACGUGAAACUUGUGCCACAUCAUGAGACUCUCACUCUGACUGUUUU
rnacentral:lncRNA from 1 species